rnacentral:rRNA from 1 species
GGACACGACUCUCGGCAAUGGAUAUCUCGGCUCUCGCAUCGAUGAAGAGCGCAGCGAAAUGCGAUACGUGGUGCGAAUUGCAGAAUCCCGCGAACCAUCGAGUCUUUGAACGCAAGUUGCGCCCGAG